rnacentral:lncRNA from 1 species
GAGAUCCUUAGGUGGGCAUACCUACUCUUAGAAUCAACUAUAUAAGUAGUCUAGCAUGAGAUGUGGAGAUCAGUAUACUAGCCUCUAAUCAAGGAUCACCAUAUACCCACCAAAACUCCUUCUUAUUAAACUCUCUUCCAUUUCUUUGAUCAACAUUCAUUCUUGAUUUUCCGACGAUGCCGAUCAGCCGGAUAGCAAUCGGAAGACCGGAGGAAGCCACUCACCCCGACGCCUUAAAGGCGGCGUUGGCCGAGUUUAUUUCCACCUUAAUUUUCGUAUUUGCAGGUUCAGGUUCAGGUGUAGCAUUUAGCAAGUUGACUGGAGGUGGUGCUAACACCCCUGCCGGUCUCAUCGCCGCCGCAAUUGCUCAUGCUUUUGGGUUGUUCGUGGCGGUUUCCGUCGGUGCUAACAUUUCCGGCGGACAUGUUAACCCUGCUGUCACCUUUGGUGCCUUUGUUGGUGGUAAUAUCACACUUUUACGUGGAAUUUUGUACUGGAUUGCUCAGUUGCUUGGCUCUGUUGUUGCUUGCUUCCUUCUCAAGUUCAC